UUCAGAAGGCUCCAGGGCCCUUGAUAAAUUCCUUCUCUGGCUCCAAUUCCAAGAGCGAUCAGAAGGGAGAUAGAGGAAAACUGUUGAGAGAAGAGGAAUUUGGAGAAACAUUUUUUGGCCAAGGCCAAAGUCUUCACAGAGCGUGGCCCUUCGGCCUCACAGUCCUGUCUCCUAAUGAGGACACCAGUCACUGGAUGAGGGGCCACCUCGAUCACUAUGAUGUCCUUUUAAUUGGAUUACAUCUGCCAGGACCCUGUUUCCAAAUAAGGCCCGUUGUUGCCACCGCUUUGGGAAAACGAUGACAGAACGAGGAAUUGAGGAAUCUCGAAGGAGAAGGUGCCCGGCCUGAAUGGCUGUCUCCAGCUCAGUCGCCUUAGGCCCACCCCACUCUGCUGUUCCUGCCGGAUGGAGGAGACUUGGCAAGUGAGGACCUGAAACCAACAUUGGAAACCGACAAUAGGUUUCCAUUUGGACCUGGGACAUCUCUACGGAGAUGACACGCUACACUGCACGUCCCGUCUGUCUUCACUGAAGCACGCUCUCGGUAAUUUCAUUGUGGGGUUUUCCAUUAAAAAGUUUGAUUAAUUCCAUAAAUAUUAAAAUAAGA